GCCGCCGCCGCCGCCUCCAUGCUGCAGCGCGGGGCUCAGUUCCACGCGGCCAGGAGGCCGCCGUUGCCGACAAGCACAGCCUUGGGAAGCCUGGCUCCCGCGUCCGCCCCGGCCGCGGCCGCAGCCCCGGACCUCGGCUGCUUGCCUCGCGCCUGAACUGCGGACUCGCCCCAGCGCGGUGGCCAGCGGGCGGGGUGUGCAGCGGCGCGCAGGGAGGUGGUGAGCGUGUGCAGAGCUGCCCGAACGGAGGACUAUGUAUGUGUGUGCGCGUGUUUGCGCGUGUUUUUCAUUCUUCCCUUGAGAAUGUGAAUUGUUAUAGCAGCUGGCUGCUCCCUUAAGAUUCUUGACUUUGGGGAGCUCUGGGCUGUGAGCACAGCCCACCCAUAUAAUUCAUUUUUCACCGUCGGUUAUAUCAGGAAAAAAAGCGCAACUGGACGGGGGUGGGGCAGACCAACGAAACCUUCUGGAGACACACACAUACACACACACUCACAGGAGAGAGGAAGAAUUGAAAGACUUGAGAAGACUUUGACAACCUCCCUGCUGGCCCUUCUGUUUUCCGGAAAGAUCCUGGAUGUUGGCUACCUUUUCAAGUCAUCUUGGCAUGUCUCUAGUGUUUUGUAAGCCGCUUUCCAGCUAGCUGCGUGUGUGUGUGCGCGCGUGUGUGUACGCGCGCGCCUAUCUGAUGCAUUUGACUGUCUUUUAUCCAACUGCCCAGAAGCAAAUGUGUUAAGUCGGCGAUGCCCCUUCGUGCCCGGGUUCUUGCAGAGCUCUGAGGACGCCCAGACCCAUUUUCCUGGCUGGAUUUGGAGCGGCUGCUGGGCUGUGGACCCAGGUGUGUGGAUCGCUUUAUCCAGAAGCUUGGAAAGCGCCAGUAUUGACCUGCUUCCAGGUACAUCACAAGGUCAAUAGAGGGUCUUGCAGCCCUCUUGUUUCCGUGUAUCUACACCUUCUUCUCUUGGCCAGAAGGAUAUUUACGUUUUGGUCCACAGCAUUUGAAGCCAAAAGUUCAGCCCUUGGAACUGGUUUGCUAUACAAAACAAAACAAAACAAAACAAAAAAGGUAAUGAGGAUUGCUUAUCAAACUGCUUAACAAAAUCCCCGACUCUUCCUCAGCCCUUUCUCGGCUCCCUCCUCUCCACCAAAAUGUCACCAGCUCUUGAAUUACGUGGAUUCGGGUUGGAGGAGAACUUGAAGGAAACGUGAUUAAAGGGCUAUGCGAGAACGCUCUCUUUGCUGCCCGCGGUCCUGUGGGCUUCGAAGCCAAUCGUGAGAAGGACUGGUUCCCUCCGUGCUGCUUCCUCCCCGUGCAGUGCCGGGUGUGCGUGUGCAAGUAUGAGUGCAAGUGCGCGCGCGCCCGGGUGCGAGUGUGUGUGAGUGUGAGCGUGUGUCUGUGUGUGCGUGCGCGGCCGCCCUGCCUCUGCCCGCUCCCCGGGCGCGGAGCCGCGGGUUUCAUGGGGCGAUUGCAGCGGAUCCCCCACCCAGCGCGACCUGCGGGCAGCGGCGGCAGUGGCAGGAGCUGCCUUUCCGACUCCCUAGGAUGCGGGUGCUGAGCUAUGGCAAAGGGCAGCGAAGUGACGAGCGAGACCCGCGUAAGACUGUGAAAGCCACCUGGAGCCACCUUGCCGGGAUUGUACCUGCAGGCAGAAAGUCUUCCUACGACCGUCUUUUCCCCUAGAGGCACCAGAAACCCUGUAACCAUUCAGCCAGGUGUUGAGAAGAUAUGUAGCAGCCCAGCACUCAUCGUUUGACACCAUCCUCUGAAAUCAGCUUUGGAGAUGCUUUCACUCUGUCCGUCUUCUGCAGCAGCCAGGCAGAGUGCUGACUCCUUCACAGCCGUGAGGAACUCUUCAGGCUCCAGAAGCUCUUAAAUCUGAUCUACAAUGGAAAAAAUUCUUUUUUAUCUGUUUUUCAUUGGCAUAGCAGUGAAAGCUCAGAUCUGUCCAAAGCGUUGUGUCUGUCAGAUUUUGUCUCCUAAUCUUGCAACCCUUUGUGCCAAGAAAGGGCUUUUAUUUGUUCCACCAAACAUUGACAGAAGAACUGUGGAACUGCGGUUGGCAGACAAUUUUGUUACAAAUAUUAAAAGGAAAGAUUUUGCCAAUAUGACCAGCUUGGUGGACCUGACCCUAUCCAGGAAUACAAUAAGUUUUAUUACACCUCAUGCUUUCGCUGACCUACGAAAUUUGAGGGCUUUGCAUUUGAAUAGCAACAGAUUGACUAAAAUUACAAAUGAUAUGUUCAGUGGUCUUUCCAAUCUUCAUCAUUUGAUACUCAACAACAAUCAACUGACUUUAAUUUCCUCUACAGCAUUUGAUGAUGUCUUCGCCCUUGAGGAGCUGGAUCUGUCCUAUAAUAAUCUAGAAACCAUUCCUUGGGAUGCUGUUGAGAAGAUGGUUAGCUUGCAUACCCUUAGUUUGGAUCACAAUAUGAUUGAUAACAUUCCUAAGGGGACCUUCUCCCAUUUGCACAAGAUGACUCGGUUAGAUGUGACAUCAAAUAAAUUGCAGAAGCUACCACCUGACCCUCUCUUUCAGCGAGCUCAGGUACUAGCAACCUCAGGAAUCAUAAGCCCAUCUACUUUUGCAUUAAGUUUUGGUGGAAACCCCUUGCAUUGCAAUUGUGAAUUGUUGUGGUUGAGGCGUCUGUCCAGAGAAGAUGACUUAGAGACCUGUGCUUCUCCUCCACUUUUAACUGGCCGCUACUUUUGGUCAAUUCCUGAAGAAGAGUUUUUGUGUGAGCCUCCUCUCAUUACUCGUCAUACACAUGAGAUGAGAGUCCUGGAGGGACAAAGGGCAACACUGAGGUGCAAAGCCAGGGGAGACCCUGAGCCUGCAAUUCACUGGAUUUCUCCUGAAGGAAAGCUUAUUUCAAAUGCAACAAGAUCUCUGGUGUAUGAUAACGGAACGCUUGACAUUCUUAUAACUACUGUAAAGGAUACAGGUGCUUUUACCUGCAUUGCUUCCAAUCCUGCUGGGGAAGCAACACAAAUAGUUGAUCUUCAUAUAAUUAAGCUCCCUCACUUACUAAACAGUACAAACCAUAUCCAUGAGCCUGAUCCUGGUUCUUCAGAUAUCUCAACUUCUACCAAGUCAGGGUCUAAUACAAGUAGUAGUAAUGGUGAUACUAAAUUGAGUCAAGAUAAAAUUGUGGUGGCAGAAGCUACAUCAUCAACGGCACUACUUAAAUUUAAUUUUCAAAGAAAUAUCCCUGGAAUACGUAUGUUUCAAAUCCAGUACAAUGGUACUUAUGAUGACACCCUUGUUUACAGGAAGUCAUGUUGGGAGGCUAUACCAUUAUCCCAAUGAUGCUGCCAUUGCUCAAAGCACUUUUGGAAUUAUCUUUAGAACCUUCAUCAUACUAUUUUGAAUAUCCUCAGUGGUGGCAAAUCUUCGUCUUUUGAGGGUGAAUUUGAAUUUUGGAAACAAGCAAAAGCCAUUUGGAGUCAAGUCUUGUGAAUAAGAAUGAUACCUCCUACGAGCAAAACUUUUCUGGUCAAUAAUCUGGCUGCUGGAACUAUGUAUGACUUGUGUGUCUUGGCCAUAUAUGAUGAUGGCAUCACUUCCCUCACUGCCACAAGAGUCGUGGGUUGCAUCCAGUUUACUACGGAACAGGAUUAUGUGCGUUGCCAUUUCAUGCAGUCCCAGUUUUUGGGAGGCACCAUGAUUAUUAUUAUUGGUGGAAUCAUUGUAGCAUCUGUGCUGGUAUUCAUCAUUAUUCUGAUGAUCCGGUAUAAGGUUUGCAACAAUAAUGGGCAACACAAGGUCACCAAGGUUAGCAAUGUUUAUUCUCAAACUAAUGGGGCUCAAAUACAAGGCUGUAGUGUAACGCUGCCCCAGUCCGUGUCCAAACAAGCUGUGGGACACGAAGAGAAUGCCCAGUGUUGUAAAGCUGCCAAUGACAAUGUGAUUCAAUCUUCAGAAACUUGUUCGAGUCAGGACUCCUCUACCACUACCUCUGCUUUGCCUCCUUCCUGGACUUCAAGCACUUCUGUGUCCCAAAAGCAGAAAAGAAAGACUGGCACAAAGCCAAGUACCGAACCACAGAGUGAAGCUGUCACAAAUGUUGAGUCCCAAAACACUAACAGGAACAACUCAACUGCCUUGCAGUUAGCUAGCCGACCUCCCGAUUCUGUCACAGAGGGGCCCACAUCUAAAAGAGCACAUAUCAAGCCAAAUGCUUUGCUGACUAAUGUUGACCAGAUUGGCCAGGAAACACAGAGUUUGGAGUUAAUCUGAAGAGCACCACUUCUCCUCUCUCUCCUGAAAAAAUUUGCCACUGAUAUUUUUACUGGAUAAAAUUCAAAAAUGUUUCAAUUCACAAAGGCUAAUUGUUGAACUGGUGUCCUAGAAGAAACUGUCUACAGGAGCCGAGGUGAAAGUCUCUGAUGCUGGCGGAACUGGCUCCAUCAGACCAUGGUUCAUCCUCUUUUAAAACCAAAUUUUUUUUUCUUCUGGCCUACAAGUAUUUUUUUUUUUUUUCCAGAAAGAAAAAAAGCCUACAUUGACAUCAAGUUCUGUAUCAAUCCAUCUUACAUUGCCAUCCAUGAUUUAACAGACUGUAGAAUCUUGAAUAAUCUAUAUCACUUUAACAAAUAAAUGUUUUACUAUGACAGAAUUUGCACAUUGCCUGAUUUGUGAAAGUACCCAUUGCUUCAAGUGCGAGUGGUGAAAUAAUUAUUGCAAGAACUAAUAAUACUGUUUUACAUGUAGGCCAUGCAAAAACCUUAAGAGAUUACAAGCAGCUUUAUAAUAUUGGAACUAUUUAUUCCAUGAUUAGGUGCACCCAGUUCUUUGGGAGAGCAGGACAGCUAUUUAAGCAAAUGUAUACUAAUUUUAUGCCUCAGUAUAGGAUAAAAAGUGAUAAAGGCUCUCUUCUCCUAGUAAAACUUCCAAAAUGAUCAAGAUAGGAAUACUAUAAUUAAUCCAAAUUGAUUCACUGCUUUUCUAGAGAGCCAGGGCAAAAGAGGUUUUAAUAAUGACAAGCCUUAAGUGCACAUUUCUCCAAUUUUGCACAAGUUCAGAGUAAGAACAAAGAAUAUGCAUGUGAUUUAAUACCAGCACAUGUAGAACUGAGUUAGUUUUGAUGGCUAAUACGGGAGAAUGCAGUCAUAUUUAAGCAAUAUCGAAGCUAAGCAUAUAAGAGCUGCCUCUGGUGUGAAGCAGGCCUCAGCUGUGUGAGUUUGGCCGGUUACUUAUGCACAGCAGUCUCCCAUGGUGUCAUAAAAUAGAUAUUAAUGUAACAUUUGAAAGCACAUACAUUUAUCAGAAUACGUGGCAAAAGCAAUGAGUUCCAUAAAAAUAUUUGUAAGAGCAUUGUACUCCCAAUUGAAUUCAGACGCUCUAAGAUAUAGAUCAUAUCUCUAUUCCUUGGUAAUUCUGAUCGUUAUCAUUGACACCAAUAUGUAGUUUAUUUUUUUUUUUAAGUUCAAAUCAAAUAAGAUAGAAAACUGUUUACCUUUUAACAAAUUCAGGUUAAUCUGUUAAUUAUUCCACAUUUGGAUUAUUACAAAUAUCCAAUCAUCCAAGGAGAAGUUUCAGGACAUUAGCCAUUUAGAACACUUGGAAGCCGUGCUCAGGAACCUAACUACACUGGACAAUUUAGAUACAGUUGUUAGUGUGCACACAUACGCGCGCACACACACUUCCUGACACACACAAUGCAAGACUGAAACAAAAGUUGCAAGUUUGAAAUGAAUUUUCCUGGUUAAAUUUGUAGUCGUGACAUUGGGCAAUUUACCUAAUUCUCUGUUUGACAACUGUAACACCCUGGAACAACUUUGCUUGUGGGUGUGCAUGCAUAUGCGUACAUAAAUGUGUAUGAUGAUUAAAAAGAGACAGAUUGAAGACUGCAUAUUGCCUCUGCAAAUACUUUGCUGUUGUAUACAACUUUUCUCCUAAUAUACAUAUGUAAAGAGAGAGUCAAGAGCAGGAAUGGCUUUCCUGGAUCUCAGCUCAGAGUGACAUUUUCAGUUAUCUUGGUUCCUCAAGGACAUCGUCCUGUUUAUUCUUACACUCUUCCCACCCCUUUGGGGCUAAUUCUUUUCUUGAUGGUGGUAACAAAACAGUGUUGUUCAUAACCUGUCCUAUCAUCUACUUUUUCAUUCAUUCAGGAUAUGUAUGCGAUUGUUUUCAAAGGAACAGAAUUAUUACUGAGUUAAAACGAAAGUUAAAUCACUUCAGGUCUUUACCCUGCAUCCCCUACAUCUAAAUCCAAAAUGUCCAUUUAUGCAUAUAUUCAAUCAAACACGUUACUCACACACCCAUAAUGUACACAUUUUCUUUUUUUUAAUGUUUAUGAGGAAGAGUGGGCACAGACUCUGAUUCUUAAGGUUUGUGAGAAUCAAUUGUUUUUAUGAGAUAUUUAGUUCUUAUAUUAAGAAGAUUAACAGAACAUAGGUGUAUACCCAUAACUAAAUAAAAUUAAUAAUCAUUCACAAAUAGAGUUCUAUAAAAACAUAAAGUUCUACAAAAAGUGGCAUAAUUAUAUUUUAAAAGUAAGCAGGAGCAAUUUGUUUUAGCUGAACAUAAGGUACAGGAAUGCACUAAUCUAUGAUAACAAGUCUCAAUGCUAAUGUUAAUGGACAUAGACUGGAAACCAUUUAAAUCAUUCCUGUUACUCAACAUUCUUGAGUAAUUUUGGAAGUAAUCUAGCUGCUAAAAAUAUGUAAGUAUAAAUACAUACUUCUUAUGACACAUCUAAUUCAUAGUAUAUUGUAAAGCACAACAAACACAAGAAUUUCAAAUAAAAGUGUUUUGAUUGCAAUAGAGUUACAGCUUAAUGAGGUGUGGAAGUAGACUGCAAACUAUAAGUUCCUCUUUUGAAAGUCUAAAAUCAUGACUUUUAAAAUUUUGAAUAAUCUGUAGAACUAAAGGGUUCUAAUAUUUCUAACAAUUUGUAGAAAUAAAGUUCUGUUACGUUGAAAGGAAUAACACAUGGAAAUAAAUCUCAAAUAACUUUUCUUUUUUAUUUUAUGUAUAAUUCUGUAGCUCACCAGCUAGUUUUUGAACAAGUUUUAAUUGUCAGUUAAACCCCAAAAUAUUCCUUUUCAUAUAUAUGGAAUGUUUUAGGACUUUUUUUAUUUUUUCUAAAAGGUACUCAUAAACUCAGGUUAUUUCUUCAAUCAUUCUGUUGUACUUGUUCCAGAAAAUUAUUCAAGUUUUAUUUCUUUUCUAUUUCCAAAAUAUAUUCGUACAGACAUUUUAUAGAUCUAAUAAUUAAUUAUUGUGUGCACUUUUGUGUAUUGAGUCACAUGAAAUUAUUGAAAAUGCAAAUGAGAUGCAAAUUUUUGUGUACUAGAGUAAAAGUAAAAAAGUAGAAGUAUAGCACCAAGUCAAAGUCCCCAGCACCUGAUUGUUUUAUUUAAUAUAAAAUUACUAUAUAUAGGGAGGCUAUCUACACUAAUUUUUUUAAAGAAGAUUUUACUUUGGAAAAUAUAUACCAUAAAAUUUGACAUUGUAACCAUUUUAACUGUACAAGCUAAUAGUGUUAAUUAUAUUUACAAUAUUGUGAAGUCAUCACCCUCUGUUUUAAAUAUUUCUUAAAAAGCACUUAAAGAUUUUUGUAUGACCCAAACACAAACUCUGUACCCAUGUAGCAAAUAAUACUCAUUCCUCCUCUCUCCCUGUCUUUAAUAGACUCUGAUCUACCUUUUUUCUACAAUAUACCUAUUCUAGAUAUUUCAUGUAAGUGGAAUCAUAAAAUAUUUGCCCUCUGAUGUCUAAUUUAUUCCACUUCUUACAAUGUCUCCAAGGCUCACCCAUGUUGAAGUGCGCCUCAGAUCUUCAACUCCUCUUAUGGUAUAAUAAAUUUUAUAUAUCGUAUUUUGUUUAUCCAUUUGUCUUUUGAUGAACACUUUUGUUAUUUCCACCUCUGGGCACUGUGAAUAAUGCUGCAAUGCUGCAUGGAACAUCAGUGUACAGCUAUCUGUUUGAGUCUGUGUGUUUUCAGUUCUUCUGGUUAUAUAUAUAGCAGUGGAAUUGCUAGGUCACAUGAUAGUUUUAAUUUUGAGUUUUUUGUUACUUUUUUUGAAGAAGUGUCAGUGUGUUUUCUACCAUAGCUACACCUUUUUAGAUUUCUUCCACUAAUUUUUGAGGGUGUUAGGAUUUCAGUUUCUCCCAAGUUUUAAAUUUUUUAUGAUUUUGUUUUGAUUUACAUUUUCCUAAUAAUGAAUGAUACUGAGCAUUAUUUCAUAUGCUUAUUGAUCAUUUGUAUAUGUUCUAAGAAAUGUCUGCUCAACUUUUUGCCCAUUUUAAAAUUGUGUUGACUUUUGGUAGUUGUUUACAUAUUCAGGAUACUAGUCCUUUAUCAGAUAUAUAAUUAGCAAAUAUUUUUCCCAUUUUGUAGAUUGUCUUUUUUAUAUUCUUAAUAAUACACUCUGAUGAUUUUUUUAAAUUUUUAUGUAUUUUUUUUCUUUUGUUUCUUGUGUUUUUGGUGUCAUUUUAAGAACCUGUUUCCCAAUUCAAGCUCAUGGGGAUUGACCUCUGUGUUUUCCUCUAAGGGUUGUACAGUUUUAGUGCACAAGCCAAUGGUGAUUAUUUUUAGGUGAUUGAUUUGUUUAGAGUAAAUUUUUGUAGAUAGCGUGAGGUAGAGGUCCAACUUUGUUUUUUUGGAUGUGGAAAUCCAGUUGUCUCAGUAUCAUCUGUUGAAGAUACUGUUAUUUUCUCAUUUAAUUUGUCAGUCUUAUCAAAAAUUAAUUGGUCAAAGAUAUAUGGGUUUAUUUUUUGGAUCUCUAUUGUAUUCCAUUUGUCUAUUUGUCUGUAUUCAAGUGUUUUAAUUCCUGUAGCUUUGUAAGUCUUAAAAUCAGGAAUUGUGAGUCCACUAACUUUGUUCUUUUUCAAGAUUGUUUUGUCUCAUGAAGGCCCCUUGCAAUUUCAUAUUCAUUUGAUGUUUAGGUUUUUCAUUUUGGCAAUAAUUCUGUUGGAAUGUUUUAUAGAGACUGUAUUAAACCUGUACAUUGCUUUGGGUAGUAUUAACAUGGCAACAAUAUUAAAACCUCCAAUCCAUGAA